rnacentral:rRNA from 1 species
CACGUAGGGGGCAAGCGUUGUCCGGAAUCAUUGGGCGUAAAGCGCGUGUAGGCGGCUCGGUAAGUCUGCUGUGAAAGUCCAGGGCUCAACCCUGGGAUGCCGGUGGAUACUGUCGAGCUCGAGUCCGGAAGAGGCGAGUGGAAUUCCUGGUGUAGCGGUGAAAUGCGCAGAUAUCAGGAGGAACACCAAUGGCGAAGGCAGCUCGCUGGGACGUGACUGACGCUGAGACGCGAAAGCGUGGGGAGCAAACAGG